UUACGAUUACUUGUUUUACAACUUUGUUUUCACUAUCUUUUAAAAACCAUAAUACUAAAAAGACUGAAAUUUUGCAGAAUUUGUUUCAAGUAGUUGAAACAAUGUAUCAAGUUGUAUUUAUGUUAUACUCAAAAAAAAAUCUGUAGUUUUACUUACACUGCAAUCGUAAGCAAAUGAGUGAAAAGAAUUGACCAAGCAAUCAUCAAAGGCAGCAUUGUUUUGACAAGUAGAUUGGUCUACGUAAGUCAUAUUUUCUUUAAUAGAAUCAUCAAAACUAUUACAAUAAUACUUGCAACAUUCAUUUUCUAUGCAUGGCUCGAUAAAAUUCUGCAAAAGGUUAUAAAAAAUAUUAAUUAACUGAAAAAAGUCAGAACGACAAUUUUAUUUAUAAAUGAAUUCGCUGUUAACUUAAAUAAUAGAAGCAUUUCUUAUUUUAAAUUUAAAAGCGUGAUCAUCUUUGUCUACGGAAUGAUUAGACAUUUGAACAUCUGUGUCCAUGUCUUCAAUACUCCAACCCUGUAAAUAUUUUAUAACAAAUUAGUUGGUAUUUUUAAACUUCUAUAUUUCUUUCAUAUUUGGCGAAUGCAUAUUUGCAAAUUAUAAACAUGUCAUAAAAUAAUUAAAACCAGGAUUCCAAAGCACAAGUUAUAAUUUUGAAUAUUAUUUAUUUUGAAUAUUAGUUUUAUGCUUACUCGUGGUUUAGUGUCUGUACAUGUUUCAUCAUUUGAAUUAGGCAAUGGAACUGUAACAUGAUUUGUACCAGCGUCACCAGUGUGUCUGUUUUCCAAAUUCUUGCAAAAAGGUAGGUAAAGAUUGAUUGACGAAUUAAAAAAUUACGAUAUUUUUACAUUAAUUAAAUUAUUUAUCAUAAUAAUUGAUCAAUUUUCAAAAUAAAAAUCAAGUUUUUGUAGGUUAGAAUCCCGUUGUAAAUACUUAAUAGUAAAAAUAUUUUAAUUAUAUAAUUACAAUAAUAAAUAAUGUAUCUUACUUGAUUGAUAACUUUUUUUUUGCGUUUAGCAAGUUCAGCUUUUAUACUACGACUUAAAUGCCACUUACUUCCAUGAUCUUCUAUACUUUUUUCGAUUCAUACUUGCGAAUAUACGAAUAAAUAUUUCACAUUUAUUACGAAAUACAACUAAACUGCAUUGCGUUGCACACUGCACAGAGCUCAAAAUACGUAUAAUUUAUGCUUAGCAUUAUGCUUUUUAUAAAGCAAAUAUUCUACUUCUUGGAGGUUAGUUUUCCCUAAAUAAAAUACAAAUAUUUGUAAUAUAUUCUAUAUUUAUAGCAAUAUUUGAAACUAAGAUGGUAUUUCUUUUAUUUUUAUUGUAGUUACUUCUGAAGACGUACGUAAUAAGUUAAAAGCAAGAAGCGUUGCUUUUAGAAACCAGAAGUACACACAAGAAAUCGGUAACUCAUCUACACCCCCGUGUCAUGAUAGCAAGGGUAGUAGUGGCUCAGAUUCUUCAGACAAAAAUAGUGAGGAUGGUUCACCACCAGUUAAGUCACGCAAGAAAAUUAUAAGUCAAGUUCAAGAAAGGCUAAAAGAGGAAAUUCUGGAAAAAAAGAAAUUACAACUACUUUUGGCGCAAAGAAGACCCUUAGAUUAUGCUGAAAUUCACCCAAUAGACGACGCAGGAAUAAGUGAUGCUAAAUUAGACAUUGUGCCACAAGGUCAAAAUAGGAUACAACGUGCAUGUUUGCCAAAAAGAACAGUUUCACGUCAGACACAUGAUGAAACAAGGACAAGCACUCCUGAACGUACAACUUUAUUUGCUAAAUAGGGUUUACGACACUUAUUUAGAUCUGAAUAAUUACAAAGGAUAAAAAAAAAGGCUAAGAAGAAGGUCAGGAAAAUAUUACAAACAAAAAUCCAGGAUUUAAGAAAAAUCAUUGACUUAAUCAAUAGGUUACACCAAGAAAAUCACAACCGAACAUACUUAACAAGACUUUCAUCACCUUAAAAAGAUGAUAUUUAUAAAACAUUAAUGUAACUUUAGAAUGUGAUCUUUUUCUUAAUUCUCAUUAACAUUUGCAUGUACAAUUAUUUUUAUAUCCCUAGUGGAAAUUUUGUCAUUAGAUAUGAUCUCAAAAGAGUACUGAUAAAAUCAGAAUACUGAUAAGAAAUGUGAUAUCACCUAUAUUUUUUGUAUUAAUAAAAAAAAAGUGUUGUACAGCUUGUAAGCUUAAA
rnacentral:lncRNA from 1 species